rnacentral:piRNA from 1 species
UAAGAAUGGCUCCUAUGAUCGCAGCAUCAGU